rnacentral:miRNA from 1 species
CAGCAAGACCUCAGGCUGCCGGCAGCCCAGGAACAGCAUGCUCUGUUGUGCUGGGCUGGGCUCCAAUG